rnacentral:tRNA from 1 species
AGGUCACUAGCUCAAUUGGUGGAGCAUCGGUCUCCAAAACCGGCGGUUGGGGGUUCGAGUCCCUCGUGGCCUG